AGCUCGACAUUAUAGCAAAUACAAAAUUUGGGCUUUACUACAAUCGUAGCUAAAAUUUUGAAAUAUGGGAAUACAGAGUUGCCACGCAAUUGAUGGGCUUACGCCCUUUUAAAAGAUUAUAGAACCCAACUCGCACAAAUCAAAUCACUUAAUCGUGGGCUUUUGGCCCAUUAAAGUUUAUAUAUCCACGUUUUCGACAAAACCCUAAUCCUGCCUCCGGAGCCAUAUCAUCUUUGAAAUCCUUGAAACAAUUGAAAUCCCUAAUUCAUAACGUUGCUUAUCGAUUUUGGUCUUUAAUCUUGUUUUGAUUUGCUGCGUAUCGCCUCCCCCCACGUUUUGUUAUGCUGCGUAUCAGAUUUUUGCCUGAUUACUCUGUUGCGGAUCACAUUCUUUUUCCCAGAUUUUUCCCUGCGUAUCAGAUUUGUUCUUCAGUGCUUCUCAAUUCCGUCGUCUCUAAUUUACUAAAUUUGUUGCUUUUUGAUAUUUUCCCUAAUUUUAGUGGUCAGAUUCGUUGCAUUUGGACAUUUUUUUUUUCUUUCCCCAAAUUGAAAUAAGGCUGGUGAUGACCAGAAUGUUGGCAAGAGCUGCGACGACAUUUAUGCGCAUUUCACGGUUGCUACCGUGGUGUUGUUGUUGCUAUGAUGAAUGUGCCAAUAUGCUAAUCUGAGGCCUCAUUUUGAUUUUCUUUUUCAAAUUUAACUGUUUGGAAUUUCCAAGUUUUUGAAUUCAAUAAUGCUAUUUGGACAAAAUAACAAAAAAAUGUUAAAU
rnacentral:lncRNA from 1 species